rnacentral:lncRNA from 1 species
UCACUAAGAUCUUAGCACUCAUCUUCUACAUGAUAAUGCAUAAGAUAAUCAGUCUAUAGUGACUCGACUUUGAAUCCUCAAGCCACUUUAUAACUAGGGUGAUGAAGAUCCUCUUCCAAGUUGCUAGCAUCAACCCAAUAACAAAACUGCUAAAUAGCCUCCAUGACCUCAUCUCACACAAUGGCCUAAUAUAAUCUAAAAAAGAGGGGAGGAAAACUGUAUAGAUUGAGCAUUUUGUCCUCCAUCAU